GGAAUCCGCUAAGGAGUGUGUAACAACUCACGGGCCGAAUGAACUAGCCCUGAAAAUGGAUGGCGCUCAAGCGUGUUACCCAUACCUCGCCGUCGGGGUAGAAACGACGCCCCGACGAGUAGGCAGGCGUGGGGGUCCGUGACGAAGCCUUGGGAGUGAUCCCGGGUCGAACGGCCCCUAGUGCAGAUCUUGGUGGUAGUAGCAAAUACUCAAAUGAGAACUUUGAGGACUGAAGUGGGGAAAGGUUCCAUGUGAACAGCAGUUGGACAUGGGUUAGUCGAUCCUAAGGCAUAGGGAAGUUCCGUUUGAAAGGCGCCCUCGUGCGCCGUGUGCCGAAAGGGAAGCCGGUUAACAUUCCGGCACCUAGAUGUGGAUUCUCCACGGCAACGUAACUGAACGCGGAGACAUCGGCGGGGGUCCUGGGAAGAGUUCUCUUUUCUUCUUGACGGCCUAUCACCCUGAAAUCGGUUUGUCCGGAGCUAGGGUUCCACGGCCGGCAGAGCCCUGCACCUUUGCAGGGUCCGGUGCGCCCCCGACGAUCCUUGAAAAUCCGCGGGAAGGAAUAGUUUUCACGCUAGGUCGUACUCAUAACCGCAGCAGGUCUCCAAGGUGAACAGCCUCUAGUUGAUAGAACAAUGUAGGUAAGGGAAGUCGGC
rnacentral:rRNA from 1 species